rnacentral:lncRNA from 1 species
UGUUGAUGGAUAUCUAACCACUGAGGGCGUGGCUUGUCUAUAUCUGAUGCUUAGUGUAACAAUUUAUUUUAAUAUUUUGCAGACAGGAGGAAGCCUCUGCCUUUAACAAAAUAUCUUGGAUAACUGCAUGGAAAUGGGACUGCCCACUAAUCCCCUUCCUCCAGUGGAUCUUGAAUAUCACCCCAGGAUUUACAGAGAUUCCAAAUCAUACAGCAAGGAGAAGAAAUAUCAGAAUACACAGUCAACAGAAGCAGAAAAUGCUGUCUUUAUGAAACGAGCUUUCAGCCUACUGUGUUUCUUAAGGAUUCUUGCAGAGGAUAGUUCAUCCACUGGCUCUGAUGGUAGUUUCUGUGAUUCAAGACCAAAUUGAGCCAUAUCAAACCCAAGUCCAGUCUUUGAAGAUCCACAUCCAAGUGCUAAGCCCCUAAGCAAUCCAAAAGGCUCCUGGGCCUUAUGAAGUCUGAAGAAUGCAAUCAACAGUCUGAGAAGGGAAAGCAGUUGGAAAAAUACCUCUGGUGUCGAUUGUACGCCAACGUCAAAUACUUGACUGCUGGCAG